rnacentral:rRNA from 1 species
UUAAGCGACUAAGCGUACACGGUGGAUGCCCUGGCAGUCAGAGGCGAUGAAGGACGUGCUAAUCUGCGAUAAGCGUCGGUAAGGUGAUAUGAACCGUUAUAACCGGCGAUUUCCGAAUGGGGAAACCCAGUGUGAUUCGUCACACUAUCAUUAACUGAAUCCAUAGGUUAAUGAGGCGAACCGGGGGAACUGAAACAUCUAAGUACCCCGAGGAAAAGAAAUCAACCGAGAUUCCCCCAGUAGCGGCGAGCGAACGGGGAGCAGCCCAGAGCCUGAAUCAGUGUGUGUGUUAGUGGAAGCGUCUGGAAAGGCGCGCGAUACAGGGUGACAGCCCCGUACACAAAAAUGCACAUNCUGUGAGCUCGAUGAGUAGGGCGGGACACGUGGUAUCCUGUCUGAAUAUGGGGGGACCAUCCUCCAAGGCUAAAUACUCCUGACUGACCGAUAGUGAACCAGUACCGUGAGGGAAAGGCGAAAAGAACCCCGGCGAGGGGAGUGAAAAAGAACCUGAAACCGUGUACGUACAAGCAGUGGGAGCACAGAGCAAUCUGUGUGACUGCGUACCUUUUGUAUAAUGGGUCAGCGACUUAUAUUCUGUAGCAAGGUUAACCGAAUAGGGGAGCCGAAGGGAAACCGAGUCUUAACUGGGCGUUAAGUUGCAGGGUAUAGACCCGAAACCCGGUGAUCUAGCCAUGGGCAGGUUGAAGGUUGGGUAACACUAACUGGAGGACCGAACCGACUAAUGUUGAAAAAUUAGCGGAUGACUUGUGGCUGGGGGUGAAAGGCCAAUCAAACCGGGAGAUAGCUGGUUCUCCCCGAAAGCUAUUUAGGUAGCGCCUCGUGAAUUCAUCUCCGGGGGUAGAGCACUGUUUCGGCAAGGGGGUCAUCCCGACUUACCAACCCGAUGCAAACUGCGAAUACCGGAGAAUGUUAUCACGGGAGACACACGGCGGGUGCUAACGUCCGUCGUGAAGAGGGAAACAACCCAGACCGCCAGCUAAGGUCCCAAAGUCAUGGUUAAGUGGGAAACGAUGUGGGAAGGCCCAGACAGCCAGGAUGUUGGCUUAGAAGCAGCCAUCAUUUAAAGAAAGCGUAAUAGCUCACUGGUCGAGUCGGCCUGCGCGGAAGAUGUAACGGGGCUAAACCAUGCACCGAAGCUGCGGCAGCGACGCUNNNNNNNNNNNNNNNNNNNNNNNNNNNNNNNAUGCGUUGUUGGGUAGGGGAGCGUUCUGUAAGCCUGCGAAGGUGUGCUGUGAGGCAUGCUGGAGGUAUCAGAAGUGCGAAUGCUGACAUAAGUAACGAUAAAGCGGGUGAAAAGCCCGCUCGCCGGAAGACCAAGGGUUCCUGUCCAACGUUAAUCGGGGCAGGGUGAGUCGACCCCUAAGGCGAGGCCGAAAGGCGUAGUCGAUGGGAAACAGGUUAAUAUUCCUGUACUUGGUGUUACUGCGAAGGGGGGACGGAGAAGGCUAUGUUGGCCGGGCGACGGUUGUCCCGGUUUAAGCGUGUAGGCUGGUUUUCCAGGCAAAUCCGGAAAAUCAAGGCUGAGGCGUGAUGACGAGGCACUACGGUGCUGAAGCAACAAAUGCCCUGCUUCCAGGAAAAGCCUCUAAGCAUCAGGUAACAUCAAAUCGUACCCCAAACCGACACAGGUGGUCAGGUAGAGAAUACCAAGGCGCUUGAGAGAACUCGGGUGAAGGAACUAGGCAAAAUGGUGCCGUAACUUCGGGAGAAGGCACGCUGAUAUGUAGGUGAAGUCCCUCGCGGAUGGAGCUGAAAUCAGUCGAAGAUACCAGCUGGCUGCAACUGUUUAUUAAAAACACAGCACUGUGCAAACACGAAAGUGGACGUAUACGGUGUGACGCCUGCCCGGUGCCGGAAGGUUAAUUGAUGGGGUUAGCGCAAGCGAAGCUCUUGAUCGAAGCCCCGGUAAACGGCGGCCGUAACUAUAACGGUCCUAAGGUAGCGAAAUUCCUUGUCGGGUAAGUUCCGACCUGCACGAAUGGCGUAAUGAUGGCCAGGCUGUCUCCACCCGAGACUCAGUGAAAUUGAACUCGCUGUGAAGAUGCAGUGUACCCGCGGCAAGACGGAAAGACCCCGUGAACCUUUACUAUAGCUUGACACUGAACAUUGAGCCUUGAUGUGUAGGAUAGGUGGGAGGCUUUGAAGUGUGGACGCCAGUCUGCAUGGAGCCGACCUUGAAAUACCACCCUUUAAUGUUUGAUGUUCUAACGUUGACCCGUAAUCCGGGUUGCGGACAGUGUCUGGUGGGUAGUUUGACUGGGGCGGUCUCCUCCUAAAGAGUAACGGAGGAGCACGAAGGUUGGCUAAUCCUGGUCGGACAUCAGGAGGUUAGUGCAAUGGCAUAAGCCAGCUUGACUGCGAGCGUGACGGCGCGAGCAGGUGCGAAAGCAGGUCAUAGUGAUCCGGUGGUUCUGAAUGGAAGGGCCAUCGCUCAACGGAUAAAAGGUACUCCGGGGAUAACAGGCUGAUACCGCCCAAGAGUUCAUAUCGACGGCGGUGUUUGGCACCUCGAUGUCGGCUCAUCACAUCCUGGGGCUGAAGUAGGUCCCAAGGGUAUGGCUGUUCGCCAUUUAAAGUGGUACGCGAGCUGGGUUUAGAACGUCGUGAGACAGUUCGGUCCCUAUCUGCCGUGGGCGCUGGAGAAUUGAGGGGGGCUGCUCCUAGUACGAGAGGACCGGAGUGGACGCAUCACUGGUGUUCGGGUUGUCAUGCCAAUGGCACUGCCCGGUAGCUAAAUGCGGAAGAGAUAAGUGCUGAAAGCAUCUAAGCACGAAACUUGCCCCGAGAUGAGUUCUCCCUGACUCCUUGAGAGUCCUGAAGGAACGUUGAAGACGACGACGUUGAUAGGCCGGGUGUGUAAGCGCAGCGAUGCGUUGAGCUAACCGGUACUAAUGAACCGUGAGGCUUAACCUU